AUGCGCACCUGCUCUUGAUCACCGCACCGUCACAUACCUGCACACCAGCCAUCCCUGCUCACCUGUUCGCAGUAAAAAAAAAAGUCCCAGCUUUUCAAGAAUUCUCUGACCUCGGGGAGGUUGUCCGGCAGAUCAUCAUGAUGAACGCCACCUGUGCACAGCAAAAACCUGUUGCAGAUUAGAGAUUGCACCCGUCUCCACGAUGAUCAUCAUCACCUUCUCCAUCAUUUCCAUCAUCAGCAUCACGUUAUUGCUGCAGGUCACUGGGUGAAGAAGUGAAGCAGAGGUUUUCUGCCCCGGUGGGACUGCAACUUCAAACAGCAAUACUUUAUGUGUGAUGCUGCAAAAGUGCACCUGGAAGGGAUUCUGCUUCUCUAAAAACGCACACGUCCUGUCAGAUCAGACCAGGUUGUUGUUUCCAUGUGUGCAAUUGAGCUGGACAUCUGAGCGCAGGACGUAUUUGCUAUGAACCGUAUCAUCAUAGAAACGCCCAGGAGUUUGGCCUCUUCUGCCCAGACGACCGCUGACCCCUGUGGAGACAGUUCAGGUUGCUGCCGAGUCCCUUUGAAAACACCUCAGCCCUGUUUGAGUGAUUGGCCAUAUGGGCGACAAUGCCAUCUUGGUGACCCCCGCUGUGCCAGGCAUGUUUUGGGAGGCACUAAUGGAAAGCAUGGCAACCUUCCCCAACUCCCCUCAUAUUCUAGUCAUCUUGUUCUGGGAUCCACACGCAGGCCUUUGACACAACUACAUGCCGAAAGAUACAGAUGGUUAAGUCAGGACUUCCCCAUUACAUUACACACAUUCGGCUCAAGCGCAGCAUUAGCUGAAAUAGUUUGCUUGUCAAACAGCCUGUCCAGACACAGAGGAAACCAACUGGAUGAGAAAACCAGACAAGGCUGGCUGUUUGCUUCCAAGUUGAAUUUAUUUUAUUCACGCCUGGUUUGCACAUACCUCAUAAUAAUAAAGUAGUCACACCAGUUAUCCGGUGUUGUCAGAGAGGCCACGGUGGAGUUUGAUUUCACAAGUUUCUGAUCUUCAAACACCAAAACGGCACCUGCAGAGCAUCAAGCCGCAGAUCUGUGGAAGCAUCCGUAAAUAUAGCAGUCCAGGUGGACCGAAUGGCCCCAACUUAUUGACAACAGCUGAAGAAUGAAACGUGUUAGCCACCCUUCAGUGGCUGAUUUAUUUAGACCUGAUAACGAGAGGUAUAAAAUGAUUCCCGAGGCCCCUCCCCAUCAGCCUCCCUGCCAGCCUUCCCGCGCUGACAGGCUUAGUUUAAAACUGCUGCUGCUUCUGCUCGGGCAGCAGUGGAAACAUUUCACCGGGGCUGUAAAUCUCCUCGCCAGAUUUUCUCUUUGAUAUCUGCUUUCUCCUCUGCUUCCACCCCCACCGUCCACAUACAUCAGCCCGUUUCGCUUACGCGAGGCCCCGCAAAGCCUCAAAGACAUUUCUGGCAGCAGGGAAGAGAUUCGGCAGAUUAAAACACGCAAAAGCAGUUUUUUCCCCCCGCAUUUACAAAUUUGUUCACAUUUCCUUUCAAUUAAGAGCGAGCGCUUUGCGAAAGGCUUGGGGGAAAUCCCCCUGGUGUUGCCGUUUCCAGUCCAUAUGCUUUGUCUCACAUGGUUUUCCUUUUUUCUUAAAGUUACCAGGCCAUCUGGUUCUGGCCUGAGUCACUCUCAGGUCAAACUGUACUUUCACUUCAUCUACAGAAG
rnacentral:lncRNA from 1 species